AGAGUUUGAUCAUGGCUCAGGACGAACGCUGGCGGCGUGCCUAAUACAUGCAAGUCGAGCGGAUCUUGUCCUUCGGGACAAGGUUAGCGGCGGACGGGUGAGUAACACGUAGGCAACCUGCCCUCAAGACUGGGAUAACCUCCGGAAACGGAUGCUAAUACCGGAUAUGCGGUUUCUCCUCCUGGAGAGACCGGGAAAGACGGAGCAAUCUGUCGCUUGGGGAUGGGCCUGCGGCGCAUUAGCUAGUUGGUGAGGUAACGGCUCACCAAGGCGACGAUGCGUAGCCGACCUGAGAGGGUGAUCGGCCACACUGGGACUGAGACACGGCCCAGACUCCUACGGGAGGCAGCAGUAGGGAAUCUUCCGCAAUGGACGCAAGUCUGACGGAGCAACGCCGCGUGAGUGAGGAAGGCCUUCGGGUCGUAAAGCUCUGUUGCCAGGGAAGAACGGGUGGAAGAGUAACUGCUUCCGCCAUGACGGUACCUGAGAAGAAAGCCCCGGCUAACUACGUGCCAGCAGCCGCGGUAAUACGUAGGGGGCAAGCGUUUGUCCGGAAUUAUUGGGCGUAGAGCGCGCGCAGGCGGCCUUUGUAAGUCCGGUGUUUAAUCUUGGGGCUCAACCCCAAGUCGCACGGGAAACUGCAAGGCUUGAGUGCAGAAGAGGAAAGUGGAAUUCCACGUGUAGCGGUGAAAUGCGUAGAGAUGUGGAGGAACACCAGUGGCGAAGGCGACUUUCUGGGCUGUAACUGACGCUGAGGCGCGAAAGCGUGGGGAGCAAACAGGAUUAGAUACCCCUGGUAGUCCACGGCGGUAAAACGAUGAAAUGCUAGGUGCUUAAGGGGUUUACGGAUAACCUCCUUGGGUGCCGAAAGUUUAACACGAAUAAAGCAUUUUCCGCCCUGGGGGGAAGUUACGCUCGGCAAGAAGGUGAAAAUACUCGAAAGGAAAUUUGACUGGGGGGACCCCUCAACCAGGUAGUGUGAAUUAUUGGUGGUUUGAAUUCACA
rnacentral:rRNA from 1 species